UGCUUGGCAAGUGUUCUUUAAUUGUGCCACGCCCCACUGGGGUAUUCUGGGCAGCCGCUCUACCACUGAGGCCCCCCCCCCCCACUCUCACAACACUUCCUACCCUGCACCUCACCUUCACUGGGAAGUCUAGGUAGGAGCUUUACCACUGAACCACAUUCCACCCCCUCCCUAUCCAUCACAAACAGGUGGCUUCUUUUCCCUUCUGGUUUCUGCUGCCUUUUUGUGGGUGCAUAAUGGGUUGAGCCCUCUGAGGGGUGACCAUUUUCUUCACUCUCCCUGCAGGAGGCUACGAUGGCCACACUUUUCUGGACAGUGUGGAAUGCUAUGACCCAGACACUGAUACCUGGAGUGAAGUGACCCGCUUGACAUCUGGCCGCAGUGGGGUGGGUGUUGCUGUCACCAUGGAACCCUGUCGGAAGCAAAUUGAUCAACAAAACUGUACCUGCUGAAGCACUUGGACUACCUGAGCACUGGCCACAGGACAGAAGCUGUGCAUCGCUGCUGUCUCUGUACUAAAGAAAAAGGAAGCAAAACCACAAACAAAACACAGGGCAGAAGAGGCAGCAGAACAAGCCAUGCCUUCUUCCACGAAGGGCGGCUGGGAUGCCUUGUAAAGGACCUUGUGGAAGACCAGAACUGAAAUCCAUGGGCCCUUCUGUCAUAGCCCCUGGAGCAUCCAAGUCUGCAGUCUGGGAUGGGGUAUGGGAGGGCACCCUCGCAGGUGAGAGGCCCCUGAACUCCUACCACCCACACCCAGACCCCCUUUCAGGGGGGACAGGCAAAGCAGGAAGGUCACAUGUGUUUUCUUUGGUUCCUGCAACUUGGUGAUCAAUUCCAGGGGACAAGGGAAAGAAGGAACAGGUGAGGCCAAGGGGCAGAGGCUCCCUCUGGAGAUGGGGCCCAGGGACAAACCUGCAGAGCAGCCUCUGGGCUGUAAGCCCUGGACACUUAUUUUGUUAAAUAGCCCUGUAACUUUCCCAUGAGAAUAAAAAAUGGAGUAGGCAGUGCCUUGCACACCGGUCCUCAGAGGGCAGUGGAAUCCCUCAGGGAGAGACAGCUCUGCUAUUGAAAUACACGCAGAUCCUGAUCGGGGCUGGCAUCUGAAACCUGUCUGUUGUCUCUGCUUACAAUUGUGCAUUCUACUCAUCUAGGGCAUCCUGCUCCCUUGUGGGACACAUAGUUGUCUGUCUGUUUCGGGGUAUUAGAAGCCAAUGACCCAACUUCUGUGACACUUCUCCUGGGGCCUCCUGUCUUUUGCUUUGAGACCAGAGCUCAUGUAGUCCAGGAUGGCCUUCAAUUCAGACCCUGAACUCCUGGCCCUGCUGCCUGCCCCAGCCUCCUGAGUUAUACCUGUAUACCACCAUGCCUGGUUCCUGCUUCUCCUCUUUGUAUCUAAGCAGGAAAAUAAAGAUUUCUGGGACAUUG
rnacentral:lncRNA from 1 species